GCCAGGUGCGGUGGUGCACACCUGUAAUCCCAGAGGCUCAGGAGGCUGAGACAGGAUGAUCAGGAGUUCAAAUCCAGCCUCAGCUGGCACUAUGUAACUCAGUAAGAUCCUGUCUCUA
rnacentral:sRNA from 1 species